rnacentral:snoRNA from 1 species
AUCAUUCUCGUGAUGAUUACCCAACCAAAUGCAUAGUUCAUCUGAAAAUGCAUGAUGAAAACUUUACCUUCAAGUCUUUCGCUCCCAUCUGAUUAUAUC